AAAGAUGUAAAGGGAUUAAAUUUGUUUUAAAAAAUGUCCUGCUUUGCUAAGGUUUAAUUUAAAAAAGAACUGGAAAUUUUUCGACUGUCUGCUAGCUAGCUAGAUACACACAUUUUAGGUCGUUAUCAUACCUAACUAACCUGCAUGCUUAGCUAGCUAGGUUAUUCAUUUUUAAAUGUUAUUUGUAUAUAAUGAUGAAGCUGUUGACUAUCUUUGUUCCAUGAAAUAAAACCGCUUUUUACUAUUGUGUAAUAACCGACUAGUUCUAGUCGCUAUAACACACUAUAUAAUAUAUGCUAUAGAAAAUAUCAGGCUAUCAUGAGAAAACAAGUUGAAUUCAUAAGAAAGUGCUUAGAAAAUUGUCAAAAAUGUUUAAAAAAACUCAGUUCUAAAGAUUUUUCACAGAGCUAGAAUUUUUGUUGCCUGUAAAGGAACUGUACCCUACCCAGGUCGUAAUUAUAAAGGGCUGCAUAUAACCCCCCACCCUCUCAGAUGUACCUUUACAGCUUACUGUUUUUUUUUUGUUUUUUUUUAACAGGAGAAAGAACAAGGGAGGCAUGUCUAACAACAUUAAAAAAGUAAUUAAAGAUGUCUUCUCAGCACUUUAUGUUCUUUUAGCCUUAGAUAAGUUUGUUCGACCAUCACAGGUCAUUACAUACCUUGGCAUAGAAAUUGAUACUAGAAAGUUCAUCAUAUGUUUACCUAACGAUUUUCAGGAAUUAAUUAAUGCAGAAGAAGUGUACAAAGAAAUAAUUAUUGGCUCGUUGUCCUUUGCGUGCACGGUUGUUAAAUGUGUUCUUAAGGCACCUGAUUAAUCUUUCCACGUCUAGCUUUUGGCUAUUGUGGUUGCUGUACAUACUUGGGGUGCUCAAAAAGCAAGUUAUCUAGUUCACAGACAAUGAGGCAUUGGUACAAAAUUUAGAGAACAGGUUCAUGUAAAUGCAAGCAUAUUAUGAGGUUAAUAAGAAAAUUGUUUUUCUUUAAUGCUCAAAAUAACAUUAACUUGGUAAUCCAUCAUGUCUUUGGUGCAAGAAAUGUUAUGCCGAUGUGCAUUCCCGUUUGCAGAUGAAAAUUUCAAGAGUCGUGCCCAGAAACAGACAAGCUACUCACACCAAUUUCUCCAGCAAUGUCGAACUCUUACUGACCGAUUGACAUUUUACUUAAAAUUCAGCGCUUUCUGCAAACACCGGGUUGACUAAAUCGCUUUGGUUUCCGUGCAUACAAAAGAUUCUGCUAUAAAUUGUCAACACUUUUAUUUCCACUUCAGGAAUUAAUUUUACAACUCUUUGCUAUGCACCUUGCUUUAAUGGUCAAAUACAAAACCAUAAAAGUUUAUCUCGCUGGAGUCCAAUAUGAGAGAGUUAUUAAUGGUCAUAACACAACGUAAAAUAUGAAUAGACUAAGAUACACUAUGCAUGGUAUACAAAGAAGCUUGCCUAAUAUACCUGUACUUUGCCUACCAAUCACCUCGGCUCAUCUAUCAGAGAUUUUGUUGUUUUUUGAAGAUAGCCAAUAUCUUAACUACGAUAAGGCUAUGUGUUGUUGGUUAGUAUUAAUGGCGUUUUUUGGCCUAUUGCGAGUAUCCAAGUAAGUCUUUCCUACCAAACACAAAUUGCAUCCUCUCACACACUUAUCACCAUAUGAGUUUUAUAAAGGAUAAAAACUUUCUAUACUUGGUGGAUGCCUUGUCCCUUUAAUGCAUAUGCUCAUUACUUAUCAUUUCGCAGUUUUGUUCCCGCUCCCUGGUUUAUUCUGCAAAGUGGCGAAUUUGUGACCCAAAAAUAUGUCAGUGCCAUGCUUAAUGUAUCCCUAAAAUGCAGUGCUAACUUGACACACAGUUUUAGAAUUAGAGGCAGGGGCAUCUACAGCGGCAUCCUGCAUCAUACCUGUUCAGCUAUAAAAUUACUAGGAAGGUGGUCUAGUGACUGUUAUCGCAUAAUCCACUUAAAAGUGACAAUUUUUUAGAAAACUGGUGUACUAACAUUGUCAAUGUUAACAAGAUUACUAGGCUGUUGACUGUAAUUUGUUGACAUAUUAAUUUGUCUUGAUGUUAUUUAGUUUUUUUAUUCAAAUUGAUCCAGUCCAUUACAUUGUUAAUUUAUUAUUGUGUUAUUGCAUUGUAUGACGUCAUAUUGGAAAAUUAUAGCAAUAACGUUU